GUGCUUAACACAUGCAAGUCGAACGAACCUUCGGGUUAGUGGCGGACGGGUGAGUAACGCGUGGGAAUCUGCCCUCAGAGGGGGAUAACGGCCGGAAACGGCCGCUAAUACCCCAUAUGCCGAGAGGUGAAAUGAAUUUCGCCUGAGGAUGAGCCCGCGUCUGAUUAGCUAGUUGGUGAGGUAAGAGCUCACCAAGGCAUCGAUCAGUAGCUGGUCUGAGAGGAUGAUCAGCCACACUGGGACUGAGACACGGCCCAGACUCCUACGGGAGGCAGCAGUGGGGAAUUUUCCGCAAUGGGCGAAAGCCUGACGGAGCAACGCCGCGUGAGGGAUGAAGGCCUCUGGGCUGUAAACCUCUUUUAUCAAGGAAGAAGAU
rnacentral:rRNA from 1 species